rnacentral:rRNA from 1 species
AUACGAAGGGGGCUAGCGUUGUUCGGAAUCACUGGGCGUAAAGCGCGCGUAGGUGGAUCAAUUAGUUGAGGGUGAAAUCCCGGGGCUCAACCUCGGAACUGCCUUCAAUACUGUUGAUCUUGAGACCGAGAGAGGUGAGUGGAAUUCCUAGUGUAGAGGUGAAAUUCGUAGAUAUUAGGAAGAACACCAGUGGCGAAGGCGGCUCACUGGCUCGGUACUGACGCUGAGGUGCGAAAGCGUGGGGAGCAAACAGGAUUAGAAACCCUAGUAGUCC